GAUGAACGCUGGCGGCAUGCCUAACACAUGCAAGUCGAUCGGUAAGGCUCUUCGGAGUACACGAGAGGCGGACGGCUGAGUAACGCGUAGGAACACACCCUGCAGUGAGGGAUAAGACACCGAAAGGUGUUCUAAUACCGCAUACGGUCUUCGGAUUAAAGCAUUUAUGCGCUGAAGGAGUGGCCUGCGUCAUAUUAGAUAGUUGGUGAGGUAAUGGCUCACCAAGUCGAUGAUGUGUAGCUGGUCUGAGAGGAUGAUCAGCCAGACUGGAACUGAGACACGGUCCAGGCUCCUACGGGAGGCAGCAGUGAGGAAUAUUUCACAAUGAGCGAAAGCUUGAUGGAGCAAUGCCGCGUGCAGGAUGAAGGCCCUCGGGUUGUAAACUGCUUUUAUAAGAGAAGAUUAUGACGGUAACUUAUGAAUAAGGGACGGCUAACUACGUG
rnacentral:rRNA from 1 species